GAGGAGAAGUUGGGGGGUGGGAGAGGGGCGGCCGUUCGUCCGUCCCCUGUGCGGAGUGCGCCCCGCCUCCGCCUCUCUGAGGAGGGGCCGUGAGGGCACAGCUCCGGGCGCGCAGCCAGAGCCGGCCGGCGGCACUGGGAGACUGCAGGCCCUGAGUUGGGCAGCGCGCCCAGCGCCGAGGAACUCCCGUGUAGAAGGAGCUGCGGAGCCACAGCUGCCCCACGGGACGCGGAUGAGCCCCACAGCUGCCCCAUGGG